rnacentral:rRNA from 1 species
UACGGAGGGGGCAAGCGUUGUUCGGAGUUACUGGGCGUAAAGCGUGCGCAGGCGGUUGUUUAAGUCAGGGGUGAAAGCCCUAUGCUCAACAUAGGGAUUGCCUUUGAUACUGAACGGCUAGAGUGAAGAUGGAGUGGGUGGAAUGUGUUGUGUAGCGGUGAAAUGCAUAGAUAUAACACAGAACACCGAUCGCGAAGGCAGCUCACUAAUUUUCAACUGACGCUCAUGCACGAAAGCGUGGGGAGCAAACAGG